GACGAACGCUGGCGGCGUGCCUAAUACAUGCAAGUCGAGCGCAGGAAAUCGACGGAACCCUUCGGGGGGAAGUCGACGGAAUGAGCGGCGGACGGGUGAGUAACACGUAAAGAACCUGCCCUCAGGUCUGGGAUAACCACGAGAAAUCGGGGCUAAUACCGGAUGGGUCAUCGGACCGCAUGGUCCGAGGAUGAAAGGCGCUUCGGCGUCGCCGGGGGAUGGCUUUGCGGUGCAUUAGCUAGUUGGUGGGGUAAUGGCCCACCAAGGCGACGAUGCAUAGCCGACCUGAGAGGGUGAUCGGCCACACUGGGACUGAGACACGGCCCAGACUCCUACGGGAGGCAGCAGUAGGGAAUCUUCCACAAUGGACGAAAGUCUGACCGAGCAACGCCGCGUGAGCGAUGAAGGCCUUCGGGUCGUAAAGCUCUGUUGUCAGAGAAGAACAAGUACCGGAGUAACUGCCGGUACCUUGACGGUACCUGACCAGAAAGCCACGGCUAACUACGUGCCAGCAGCCGCAGUAACAC
rnacentral:rRNA from 1 species